UACGUAGGGGGCUAGCGUUGUCCGGAUUUAUUGGGCGUAAAGAGCGUGUAGGCGGCCAGGUAGGUCUGCUGUGAAAACCCGAGGCUCAACCUCGGGCCUGCAGUGGGUACGGGCAGACUAGAGUGCGGUAGGGGAGAUUGGAAUUCCGUGGUGUAGCGGUGGAAUGCGCAGAUAUCAGGAGGAACACCAAUGGCGAAGGCAGAUCUCUGGGCCGUAACUGACGGCUGAGGAGCGAAAGCAUGGGGAGCGAACAGG
rnacentral:rRNA from 1 species